rnacentral:rRNA from 1 species
AUUGAACGCUGGCGGCAGGCCUAACACAUGCAAGUCGAGCGAGCGGCGGAGGGGAGAGUAAUGUAUGGGGUUCUGCCUGAUGGAGGGGGAUAACUACUGGAAACGGUAGAUAAUAUCGCAUACAGUCAGAUGAACCCAUAUGGGAUUAGCUUGUAGGUGAGGUAACGGCUCACAUAGGCGACGAGCCCUAGCUGGUCUGAGAGGAUGAUCAGCCACACUGGGACUGAGACACGGCCCAGACUCCUACGUGAGGCAGCAGUGGUGAAUAUUGCACAAUGGGCGCAAGCCUUAUGCAGCCAUGCCGCGUGUAUGUAGAAGGCCUUCGGGUUGUAAAGUACUUUCAGUCGGGAGGCGUUACCGACAGAAGAAGCACCGGCUAACUCCGUGCCAGCAGCCGCGGUAAUUC